UCACACCCCUCUAGAUUUAAAGGACUAUUGCAAAGACCAUUUCACUACUGUUAGUGUUUGCAGUUCAGUCAUUGCUUCGAGGAAAAACCUGUUGAUACGUCAGGUUAUGCUAAAUAAGCAAGAGUUCUGUAUUGGCCUGAAGCUGUUUGCAAUCCACCAUUUGCAUGCCACUUUCAAGCAGGGACAUUAUUGCUACCUUUUAAAUCCAAAAAAGGGAACUGAUAUAUUUGCAAACACACAGAUACUCAGGAUGUGGCUGCUGUUUCCUAUCACAAACACGUGAUCUGAGUUGGUUGUUGUUUUUCCACACUGCAAAAGAAAGAAAUCCAGCAAGCUUAGGUGAAAUUGUUGGGUCACUGAAAGGUACAAUGAUCUUCCUGACAAGCUGGAUUCCUGUCCUAACUACGUUUCUGCUUCUCUUAUAUUUCUGGAGAGCAAAGGUCUCUGCCUCUGGAACAUCUGAGGAGGAGGCAAUAGACCCCAAGUAUGUUAUCAUAGGAGUUACCCUGGGAGUCUUCCUAGCAAUUGGUUUUUUAGCACUAAAGAUCUGCAUGAUCAAAAGGCAAUUGACUGACAAUGACUUUGUAGAUUCAGACAACAGAGUGGAUAAAAGGUAA
rnacentral:lncRNA from 1 species